UACGAGGGGGGCUAGUGUUGUUCGGAAUCACUGGGCGUAAAGGGCGCAUAGGCGGCCUUCUAAGUCGAACGUGAAAUCCCCGGGCUCAACCCGGGAACUGCGUCCGAUACUGGGAGGCUUGAAUCCGGGAGAGGGAUGUGGAAUUCCAGGUGUAGCGGUGAAAUGCGUAGAUAUCUGGAGGAACACCGGUGGCGAAGGCGGCAUCCUGGACCGGUAUUGACGCUGAGGCGCGAAAGCCAGGGGAGCAAACGGG
rnacentral:rRNA from 1 species